rnacentral:rRNA from 1 species
AUUGAACGCUGGCGGCAGGCCUAACACAUGCAAGUCGAGCGGAUGAAGGGAGCUUGCUCCUGGAUUCAGCGGCGGACGGGUGAGUAAUGCCUAGGAAUCUGCCUGGUAGUGGGGGAUAACGUCCGGAAACGGGCGCUAAUACUGCAUACGUCGUGAGGGAGAAAGUGGGGGAGCUUCGGACCUCACGCUAUCAGAUGAGCCUAGGUCGGAUUAGCUAGUUGGUGGCGUAAAGGCCUACCAAGGCGACGAACCGUAACUGGUCUGAGAGGAUGAUCAGUUACACGGGAACUGAGGCACGGUCCAGACACCUACGGUAGGCAGCGGUGGAGAAUAUUGGACGAGGGGGCAGAGCCUGAUCCAGCCAAGCCGCGUGUGUGAUGAAGGUCUUCGGAUUGUAAAGCACUUUAGGUUGGGAGGAAGUGCAGUAAGUUAACACCUGGCUAUAUUGACGUUACCAGCAGAAUAAGCACCGGCUAACUUCGUG